UAGGGAAUAUUGCUCAAUGGGGGAAACCCUGAAGCAGCAACGCCGCGUGAGUGAUGAAGGCCUUCGGGUCGUAAAGCUCUGUUGUACGAGACGAAUGAGGGUAUGGUAAAUAAUCAUAUCCAGUGACGGUAUCGUAUAAGAAAGGACCGGCUAACUUCGUGCCAGCAGCCGCGGUAAGACGGGGGGUCCUGGCGUUGUUCGGAAUCAUUGGGCGUAAAGCGUGUGCAGGUGGUUUUAAAAGUUGGAUGUGAAAUCCUUGGGCUUAACCCAAGAAGUGCAUUCAAAACUGUAAAACUUGAGUAAGGAAGAGGGUCGUGGAAUUCCAGGUGUAGUGGUGAAAUACGUAGAUAUCUGGAGGAACACCGGUGGCGAAGGCGGCGACCUGGUCCUAUACUGACACUCAUACACGAAAGCGUGGGUAGCAAACAGGAUUAGAUACCCCCGUAGUCC
rnacentral:rRNA from 1 species